rnacentral:rRNA from 1 species
GGUUCGAUUAUGGCUCAGAUUGAACGCUGGCGGAUGUUUACACAUGCAAGUCGAACGGCAGCACGGACUUCGGUCUGGUGGCGAGUGGCGAACGGGUGAGUAAUGUAUCGGAACGUGCCCAGUAGCGGGGAUAACUACGCGAAAGCGUAGCUAAUACCGCAUACUGCCCUUCGGGGGAAAGCGGGGGACCUUCGGGCCUCGCACUAUUAGAGCGGCCGAUAUCGGAUUAGCUAGCUGGUGGGGUAACGGCUCACCAAGGCGAUGAUCCGUAGCUGGUUUGAGAGGACGACCAGCCACACUGGGACUGAGACACGGCCCAGACUCCUACGGGAGGCAGCAGUGGGGAAUUUUGGACAAUGGGGGAAAACCCUGAUCCAGCCAUCCCGCGUGCGAUGAAGGCCUUCGGGUUGUAAAGCACUUUUGGCAGGAAAGAAACGGCACGGGAUAAUACCCCGUGCAACUGACGGUACCUGCAGAAUAAGCACCGGCUAACUACGUGCCAGCAGCCGCGGUAAUACGUAGGGUGCAAGCGUUAAUCGGAAUUACUGGGCGCAAAGCGUGCGCAGGCGGUUCGGAAAGAAAGAUGUGAAAUCCCAGAGAGCUUAACUUUGAACUGCAUUUUUAACUACCGAGCUAGAGUGUCAGAGGGAGGUGGAAUUCCGCGUGGUGCGGUGAAAUGCGUAGAUAUGUGGAGGAACACCGAUGGCGAAGGCAGCCUCCUGGGAUAACACUGACGCUCAUGCACGAAAGCGUGGGGAGCAAACAGGAUUAGAUACCCUGGUAGUCCACGCCCUAAACGAUGUCAACUAGCUGUUGGGGCCUUGGCCUUGGUAGCGCAGCUAACGCGUGAAGUUGACCGCCCGGGGAGUACGGUCAAGAUUAAAACUCCAAGAAUUGAUUUAUCGCACAAGCGGUGGAUGAUGUGGAUUAAUUCGAUGCAACGCGAAAAACCCUACCUACCCUUGACAUGUUCGAAUCCCGAAGAGAUUUGGGAGUGCUCGUAAGAGAACCGGAACACAGGUGCUGCAUGGCUGUCGUCAGCUCGUAAUGAGAUGUUGGGCUAAGUCCCGCAACGAGCGCAACCCUUGUCAUUAGUUGCUACGAAAGGGCACUCUAAUGAGACUGCCGGUGACAAACCGAGGAAGGUGUGGGGAUGACGUCAAGUCCUCAUGGCCCUUAUGGGUAGGGCUUCACAUCGUCAUACAAUGGUCGGGACAGAGGGUCGCCAACCCGCGAGGGGGAGCCAAUCCCAGAAACUCGAUCGUAGUCCGGAUCGCAGUCUGCAACUCGCGCGGAAGUCGGAACGCCAGGACCGCGGAUCAGCAUGUCGCGGUGAAUACGUUCCCGGGUCUUGUACACACCGCCCGUCACACCAUGGGAGUGGGUUUUACCAGAAGUAGUUAGCCUGGUCCGUAAGGAGGGCGAUUACCACGGUAGGAUUCAUGACUGGGGUGAAGUCGUAAUAAGGUAG